rnacentral:rRNA from 1 species
UUCCGGUUGAUCCUGCCGGAGGUCACUGCUAUUGGGAUUCGACUAAGCCAUGCGAGUCGAGAGGGUUCGGCCCUCGGCUGACGGCUCAGUAACACGUGGAUAAUCUGCCCUUAGGUGGAGGAUAAUCUCGGGAAACUGAGGAUAAUACUCCAUAGAUCUAGGAUGCUGGAAUGCAUUUAGAUUGAAAGCUCCGGCGCCUAAGGAUGAGUCUGCGGACUAUCAGGUUGUAGUCAGGAUAAAGACCUGACUAGCCUAUGACGGAUACGGGUUGUGAGAGCAAUAACCCGGAGACGAUAUCUGAGACACGAUAUCGGGCCCUACGGGGCGCAGCAGGCGCGAAAACUUCACACUGUGCGAAAGCGCGAUGAGGGAAUCCCAAGUGCUUACUCGUAAGAGUAAGCUGUUUCUUUGUCUAAAAAGCAGAGAGAGUAAGGGCUGGGUAAGACGGGUGCCAGCCGCCGCGGUAAUACCUGCAGCUCAAGUGGUGAUCAUUAUUAUUGGGCCUAAAACGUCCGUAGCCGGUUUAGUAAAUGCCUGGGUAAAUCGUGUAGCUUAACUAUACGAAUUCCGGGUAGACUGCUAAACUUGAGACCGGGAGAGGCUAGAGGUACUCCUGGGGUAGAGGUGAAAUUCUGUAAUCCUAGGGGGACCACCAGUGGCGAAGGCGUCUAGCUAGAACGGGUCUGACGGUGAGGGACGAAGCCCUGGGGCGCAAACCGGAUUAGAUACCCGGGUAGUCCAGGGUGUAAACGCUGCUUGCUUGAUGUUAGUUGGGCUCCGAGCCCAACUAGUGUCGGAGAGAAGUUGUUAAGCAAGCUGCCUGGGAAGUACGGUCGCAAGGCUGAAACUUAAAGGAAUUGGCGGGGGAGCACAGCAACGGGUGGAGCGUGCGGUUUAAUUGGAGUCAACGCCGGGAAUCACUAGUGCGGCCGCCUGCAGGUCGACCAUAU